AAACAGCACCAAUCACAACUACAAUGAGCAGAAAUACAACGGCAACAAAUGGCUCAUCUGAACCCUCAUCUGACACUACACCAACUACAACCACCACAAUUACACCCACAACAAGCACCUCAUCUAUACAAACAGAUAACCCAAUGGCACCCACUGCAAGUAAUGCCACAACAGCAUCUAUCACAACUACAAUGAGCAGACAUACAACGGCAACAAAUGGCUCAUCUGUACCCUCAUCUGACACUAUAACCACCACAAUCACACCCACAACAAGCACCUCAUCUAUACAAACAGAUUACACAAUGGCACCCAUCACAAGUAAUGACAAAACAGCAUCUAUCAACACUACAAUGAGCAGAAAUACAAUGGCAACAAAUGGCUCAUCUGUACCCUCAUCUGACACUAAAACAACUACAACCACCACAAUUAUACCCACAAUAAACACUGAUAACACAAUGGCACCCACUGCAAGUAAUGAAGCAACAGCAGCUAUCACAACUACAAUGAGCAGAAAUACAACAGCAACAAAUGGCUCAUCUGUACCCUCAACUGACAUUACAACAACUACAACCACCACAAUUACACCCACAACAAAUACUGAUAACACAAUGGCAGCCACCACAAGUAAUGCUGCAACAGCAGCUAUCACAACUACAAUGAGCAGAAAUACAAAAGCAACAAAUGGCUCAUCUGUACCCUCAUCUGACACUACAACAACUACAACCGCCACAAUUACACCCACAACAAGAACCUCAUCUAUACAAACAGAUAACCCAAUGGCACCCACUGCAAGUAAUGCCACAACAGCAUCUAUCACAACUACCAUGAGCAGAAAUACAACGGCAACAAAUGGCUCAUCUGUACCCUCAACUGACACUACAAUAUCUACAACCACCACAAUUACACCCACAACAAGCACCUCAUCUAUACAAACAGAUAACACAAUGGCAGCCACCGCAAGUAAUGCCACAACAGCAUCUAUAACAACUACAAUGAGCAGCAAUACAAUGGCAACAAGUGGCUCAUCUGUACCCUCAACUCACAUUAAAACAACUACAACCAACACAAUUAUACCCACAACAAACACUGAUAACACAAUGGCACCAACCGCAAGUAAUGCUGCAACAGCAGCUAUCACAACUACAAUGAGCAGAAAUACAACGGCAACAAAUGGUUCAUCUGUACCCUCAUCUGACACUACAACAAGUACAACCACCACAAUUACACCCACAACAAGAACCUCAUCUAUACAAACAGAUAACCCAAUGGCACCCACUGCAAGUAAUGCCACAACAGCAUCUAUCGCAACUACAAUGAACAGAAAUACAACGGCAACAAAAGGCUCAUCUGUACCCUCAUCUGACACUAUAACAACUACAACCACCACAAUUAUACCCACAGCAAACACUGAUAACACAAUGGCACCCACCGCAAGUAAUGCUGCAACAGCAGCUAUCACAACUACAAUGAGCAGAAAUACAACGGCAACAAAUGGCUCAUCUGUACCCUCAACUGACACUAUAACCACCACAAUCACACCCACAACAAGUACCUCAUCUAUACUAACAGAUUACACAAUGGCACCCAUUGCAAGUAAUGCCACAACAGCAUCUAUCAACACUACAAUAAGCAAAAAUACAACGGCAACAAAUGGUUCAUCUGUACCCUCAUCUGACACUACAACAACCACAACCACCACAAUUACACCCACAACAAACACUGAUAACACAAUGGCAGCCACCGCAAGUAAUGCCACAACAGCAUCUAUCACAACUACAAUGAGCAGCAAUACAACGGCAACAAGUGGCUCAUUUGUACCCUCAACUCACAUUAAAACAACUACAACCACCACAAUUAUACCCACAACAAACACUGAUAACACAAUGGCACCCACCGCAAGUAAUGCUGCAACAGCAGCUAUCACAACUACAAUGAGCAGAAAUACAACGGCAACAAAUGGCUCAUCUGUACCCUCAACUGACACUAUAACCACCACAAUCACACCCACAAGUACCUCAUCUAUACAAACAGAUUACACAACGGCACCCACUGCGGUGUAAUGCCACAACAGCAUCUAUCAACACUACAAUAAGCAAAAAUACAACGGCAACAAAUGGUUCAUCUGUACCCUCAUCUGACACUACAACAAGUACAACCACCACAAUUACACCCACAACAAACAAUGAUAACACAAUGGCACACACUUCAAGUAAUGCCACAACAGCAGCUAUCACAACUACAAUGAGCAGAAAUACAACGGCAACAAAUGGCUCAUCUGUACCCUCAUCUGACACUAUAACCACCACAAUCACACCCACAAGUACCUCAUCUAUACAAACAGAUUACACAACGGCACCCACUGCGGUGUAAUGCCACAACAGCAUCUAUCAACACUACAAUAAGCAAAAAUACAACGGCAACACAUGCCUCAUCUGUACCCUCAUCUGACACUACAACAACUACAACCACCAGAAUUACACCCACAACAAACACCUCAUCUAUACCCAAAGAUUACACAAUGACACCCACUGCAAGUAAUGCCACAACAGCAUCUAUCCCAACUACAAUCAGCAGAAAUGCAACUUCAACAAAUGGUUCAUCUGUACCCUCAGCUGACACUACAACAAUUCCAACCACCACAAUUACACCCACAUCAAACACUGAUAACACAAUGGCACCCACUGCAAGUAAUGCCACAACAGCAGCUAUCACAACUACAAUGAGCAGAAAUACAACGGCAACACAUGCCUCUUCUGUACCCUCAUCUGACACUACAACAACUAUAACUACCAGAAUUACACCCACAACAAACAUCUCAUCUAUACCCACAGAUUACACAAUGGCACCCAGCACAAGUAAUGCCACAACAGCAUCUAUCACAACUACAAUGAACAGAAAUACAACAGCAACAAAUGGCUCACCUGUACCCUCAUCUGUCCUUACAACAACUACAACCACCACAAUUAUACCCACAACAUACACCUCAUCUAUACAAACAGAUAACCCAAUGGCACCCACUGCAAAUAUUGCCACAACAUCAUCUAUCACAACUACAAUCAGCAGAGAUGCAACGGCAACAAAUGGCUCAUCUGUACCCUCAACUGACACUACAACUACAACCACCACAAUUAUACCCACAACAAACACUGAUAACACAAUGGCACCCACUGCAAGUAAUGCCACAACAGCAUCUAUCACAACUACAAUGAGCAGCAAUAGAACGGCAACAAAUGGCUCAUCUGUACCCUUAACUGACACUACAACAACUACAACCACCACAAUUACACCCACAACAAACACUGAUAACACAAUGGCACCCACUGCAAGUAAUGAAGCAACAGCACCUAUUAACACUACAAUAAGCAGAAAUACAACAGCAACAAAUGGCUCAUCUGUACCCUCAUCUGAGACUACAACAACUACAACCACCACAAUUACACCCCCAACAAGCACCUCAUCUAUACAAACAGAUAACACAAUGGCAUACACCGCAAGUAAUGCCACAACAGCAUCUAUCACAACUACAAUGAGCAGAAAUACAACGGCAACAAAUGGCUCAUCUGUAACCUCAACUGACACUAAAACAACUACAACCACCACAAUUAUACCCACCACAUACACCUCAUCUAUACCCACAGAUUACACAAUGGCACCCACUGCAAUUAAUUCUGCAACAGCACCUAUUAAAACUACAAUAAGCAGAAAUACAACAGCAACAAAUGGCUCAUCUGUACCCUCAUCUGUCACUAAAACAACUACAACCACCACAACUACACCCACAACAAACACUGAUAACACAAUGGCAGCCACUGCAAGUAAUGCUGCAACAGCAGCUAUCACAACUACAAUAAGCAGAAAUACAACGGCAACAAAUGGCUCAUCUGUACCCUCAUCUGACACUACAACAACUACAACCACCACAAUUACACCCACAACAAGCACCUCACCCACAGAUAACACAAUGGCACCCACCGUAAGUAAUGCUACAACAGCAGCUAACAUAGCUACAGCUAUAGUAACUACAGCCACCACAAUUACAACUACAGCCACCACAACACCUACAACUAUCACAUCUGAAGCCAUUCAUUUACUAAGCUUCACACUGACAAUAAAUGAGCCAUUUGAUUUUUUACUUACUAAUCAAAGCAGUGAAAAAUACCAAGAAUAUAAAACAGAAAUUGAGUCUUUAGUAAGUGUAAAAUGAUGUAAUAUAAUUCAUGAAUUCACCCUUACUAAUAUUUUAAUGGUAUUAUAUGCAAUAAAGUAUUGUGCCAUUCACUGAAAGCUAAAUAUAACUUUCUUAUAAUUUCUACCCUCGGAUCGAUAAUAUUUACAGAAAUGUACGUGCCUACGAGCCUAACUCUGCAACAGUAUCUGGUUUCAGGUGAUGAUAUUUAUUGUAAUAUAGCAUAAGUAUAUUUAAGUCUUACAAUCAACCUAUC